GUAGUAUAGAGGACUACCAUGGUGGUAACGGGUAACGGAGAAUCAGGGUUUGAUUCCGGAGAAGGAGCCUGAGAAACGGCUACUACUUCCAAGGAAGGCAGCAGGCGCGCAAAUUACCCAAUCCCAACACGGGGAGGUAGUGACAAAAAAUAACAAUAUCGAUGUUUUUACAACUUUGAUAAUUGGAAUGAGUACAAUCUAAAACCUUUAACGAGUAUCAAUUGGAGGGCAAGUCUGGUGCCAGCAGCCGCGGUAAUUCCAGCUCCAAUAGCAUAUAUUAAAGUUGUUGCAGUUAAAAAGCUCGUAGUUGGAUUUUGAAAUGUUAUAAGACAGCCCGCUUUUGUAAGUGUGUUUUUGUUGUUUUAUAUCUUUCUCCUUACUAGACUUUCACUAUUGUUCUUCAUUGAUCGAUAGUUUCAUCUCUUUUUUUGGGGUGAGUGAUGGUUAGACCUCUUGGGUUUAGGAUUGUGGAUGAUUGCUUUUAGUGAUUGUUCUGCUUAGAUUCAAGAACUAAUCAUUAGAAAUCUAGUUCUUUUACUUUGAGUAAAUUAGAGUGUUCAAGGCAAGCAAAUUAUUAUUGUUGCAAUGAAUACUAUUAGCAUGGGAUAAUGGAACAGGACACGUAUUCUAGUUUUCUGUUGGUUUCUAGAAUUUUUUGAUUUCUUCAGAGGUCAGUAGUGUAAUGAUUAAAAGGGACAGUUGGGGGCAUUCGUAUUUCAUUGUCAGAGGUGAAAUUCUUGGAUUUAUGAAAGACGAACUUCUGCGAAAGCAUUUGUCAAAGAUGUUUUCAUUAAUCAAGAACGAAAGUUAGGGGAUCGAAGACGAUCAGAUACCGUCGUAGUCUUAACCAUAAACUAUGCCGACCAGGGAUUGGAAGAUGUAUUAUCCUGUGUAACAGCAGGAAAACUCCUUCAGUACCUUACGAGAAAUCAUAAGUCUUUGGGUUCUGGGGGGAGUAUGGUCGCAAGGCUGAAACUUAAAGGAAUUGACGGAAGGGCACCACCAGGAGUGGAGCCUGCGGCUUAAUUUGACUCAACACGGGAAAACUUACCAGGUCCAGACACAGUUAGGAUUGACAGAUUGAGAGCUCUUUCUUGAUUCUGUGGGUGGUGGUGCAUGGCCGUUCUUAGUUGGUGGAGUGAUUUGUCUGGUUAAUUCCGAUAACGAACGAGACCUCAGCCUGCUAAUUAGUUAUGCAAAUGAUUACAUUCUUUAUGAAGAGGGUUUCUAUUAUAGCUUUGGGUUUGACUUGGAGAUAUAAUAGAAAAACUCGUUUUCAUUUGUUAGAGAUUUGAUGUCUUUUGACUGACGAUUUCGAUAAUGACUUCUUAGAGGGACACUUGGUGUUUAACCAAGGGAAGUUUGAGGCAAUAACAGGUCUGUGA
rnacentral:rRNA from 1 species